rnacentral:rRNA from 1 species
GGCAACAGCUCAAAUUUGAAAUCUGGCCUCUUCGGGGUCCGAGUUGUAAUUUGUAGAGGGUGUUUCGGGCGCGAUGCCGGUCUAAGUUCCUUGGAACAGGACGUCGCAGAGGGUGAGAAUCCCGUACGCGACCGGCGAUCAAGCCUGUGUGAAGCCCCUUCAACGAGUCGAGUUGUUUGGGAAUGCAGCUCAAAAUGGGUGGUAAAUUUCAUCUAAAGCUAAAUAUUGGCCAGAGACCGAUAGCGGACAAGUAGAGUGAUCGAAAGAUGAAAAGCACUUUGGAAAGAGAGUCAAACAGUACGUGAAAUUGUUGAAAGGGAAGCGCUUGCAAUCAGACCGGUCCGGAGGCGAUCAGCCGCUGCUCGUUCAGCGGUGCACUCGCCUGCGAUCCGGCCAGCAUCGGUUCGGGCGGUGGGAUAAAAGUCCCGGGAAUGUAGCUUCUCUCGGGGAGUCUUAUAGCCCGGGUCGCAAUGCCGCCUGCCCGGACCGAGGACCGCGCUUCGGCUAGGAUGCUGGCGUAAUGGUUGCAAGCG